GCAGUAGCCACGGGAAUACGAAGGGUGCAAGCGUUACUCGGAAUUACUGGGCGUAAAGCGUGCGUAGGUGGUGGUUUAAGUCCGUUGUGAAAGCCCUGGGCUCAACCUGGGAAUUGCAGUGGAUACUGGGUCACUAGAGUGUGGUAGAGGAUAGUGGAAUUUCCGGUGUAGCAGUGAAAUGCGUAGAGAUCGGAAGGAACAUCUGUGGCGAAGGCGACUAUCUGGGCCAACACUGACACUGAGGCACGAAAGCGUGGGGAGCAAACAGGAUUAGAUACCCCAGUAGUCCCUGUCUCUUAUAC
rnacentral:rRNA from 1 species